rnacentral:lncRNA from 1 species
UGACAUCUUAUCUAAUUGUCCAAAUGUCUAUUACUCAGAAAUUAGUAUAAUUAUAUGUAUACCUUCCAACCUUCUUCGUAUAUUCUCUUGUCUGUCCUUGUCCUAUCAGGAAAACGGCCUACGAAGGAUAUGUGGUUUUGUGUUAACAUAAUUAAGAAAAAUCAUAUUUAGCAAGUUUCUUGAUCUUCUAUUGGAGCCACUUCUGAAUUAGGUUUAAUUGUUUUUAACCUCAUUAAUCCGUCACUAAAUGAGCUUUUUACCAUGACCAUUCUCAUAAACAUCCAC